rnacentral:lncRNA from 1 species
CCACAUUCUCAUUCCAUCCCUGGGAUCCGAAAUCUCCGAGAUGAUUUUUUUUUUUAAUUUGUAUACAUCAAGGUUCAUGCUUUAAUAAUAAUGUUUUAAAUUAUUUAACAUCUAGCAAAACUAAUAAACUAUGGCCUACCUUGUGUCAGGCCCCAUAACAAUGUCAUUCUGUGGGAUUUUACCUUGUAGUUUUCUUGGAACAGUCUUGGUAUGUCCCUACUUAAUUAAGCCAUAGGCAUCCCAGUUUCAGAAGCACGGACUACAGAAACUGACUUGUGAUAUUUAUGGCCCUAUCUCUAAAAUCCUGGAAUUCUUUAGAUUUAUGUAACCAUAUCUCUCUUAAUGAUUCCAGAAUCUGCAAAACAUGAUCUAUUUGGAGAACUUCAUUUGCAUAAGGUUAGAACUGUUUUUUUUUUUUUUCUUCCUUACUGCUCUUUUGCUCUUAGUAAAAUAAAAGUAAACUGCAGGGGAGAAUAAUAACUACCAUAGUCAAUCCUAUCUUUUGUCUAGAACAAAUGCCAUCAUCACAACUUAAAUACAAACCCCUUUGUCAAUCAGGGUUUGCUUAAAACAACAAUUAAGUUGCUCUACACUGAUCCUAUAGGAGCUUUGGCACUGGUGUCAUAUGAAUAUGGAAAGUUCCAUUGGACAGAGAAUGACUGGGCAGUGUGGACUGCUGAGGAGAGAGAGCUGACCCAACAGACACUUGAUCUGACCGGAGCAAGUCCUGUAGAGCCUGCACUGGAGAGACCUUGGCAAUCACCCAGCCACUACCCUGGCUGCACCUAGACGCACCUGGGAGCUUAAAAGAAAAUAAUCGUGUCUGGGUUCCAUCCUUAAAGGUUUAAUUCAAGUUGUCUGGGGUAAGGCCCUUUAUCAUUAUUAAAAACAAGAAAAUCAAAUGAGGCUACUAUGUGGCCAGAGUGGAAGAUCCCUGACUUAGUUCAAGCUUUUCAUUUCAUAGAUAAAAAACUGGGGCUCCUGAAGUCAAUGUCGGGUGCCCUGAUUUUUCACAGUUGAGGAGUCAUGGUUCUCCUGCCCUCCUAGGUCAGUGCUGGCUCUGCCAGCCUAGAGGCAUUUCAGCACGAGCACCUUCUUGGGGACUCCUGAGCCUUCCUAUGAAGAGGUGACUGAGUACUUACUCCCUAACAUGUCCGUCUGGGGCUUAGCACCCUCUAGAGAGGUUCCUUCCAGCCUGCUGAAUAUUUUAUAAGCAUCUGAAGAGAUUCAACACAGUAAAUAACUCCUGUGCAGGAACAUAUUGGACGUCCC